rnacentral:ncRNA from 2 species
UUCUUAUCGAGAGCGGUGGAGGAAACUGGUCCUUUGAUCCCGCGGCAACCUGUUUGAUAAACAAGGUGCUCAUUCCAGCAGACAUUUUCUGUCUGAAAGAUAAGAG